GGUCGCGGGCCGGAGGUAGUUUUCUUCAAUUCUUCCGGCGGAAAGACCAAUCGGAAAGCGGAAUAUCAGCGGGUCGUCGGAAGGCUGGCUCUCAGUGGACUUGAGAAACCUGCGUCAUCCCUGUUUUAGCCAAUCGCAUCGCUUCUGCAACUGAGUUGCUUUUGGGUUGGAGCGUCGUGCGCCUCUAGGUUUUCUGCAGGUUGGUUCGUGGGAAUGAAACUUUUAAACAAGAAUCUGCUGCCUCGGUUGUUUCUCGGACCCUGUUGGCUUCUUGCCAAAAGUCAUUUGGGGGACAUUCUGCGCAGAAACUUUUAGCGCUUGGCCAGCUUUCCUGGUUUUAUUGGUGUGUGGCUUCUUGUGUGAGGCACGUCAUUUCUUCAACGUUUUAGUUCUUGGGAUUGAAAGUACUGUCCAACUGUCCAAACCCUGGUUGGUGUGGCUCAGUGGAUUGAGUGCUGUCCUUCUUACGGGUUGCAGCUGGUGCUUCCCAGUCAGGGCACAUGCCUGGGUUGGGAGCCAGGUCCCCAGUUGGGGGCGCGCAAGAGGCAACCACACUUGGUGUUUCUCACCCUUGCCUCCCUCCCUUACCCUGUCUCUAGAAAUAAAAUCUUUAAGAAAGAAAAAGUACUGUUCUAGCGUGAGUUUUGAUGAUAUGUGCUUAUUUUUUAAAAUGAAGGCAUCGCUCAUGAUCACUGCGAAUUUGGAAAAUAAUUGCACGUAGCUCUACUAAUCGAUGCAUAAUUUGUUUAAAUGAUAAGAUGUAUAAAAAGAGGGGUAAACUUGGAUUUAACUGAAGAAAGGAAGUAAUGAAAGAAUUGUGUUUAAAUUUUGCUGUUAAAGUCCAUUUUUAUUUCAACAUGAGUUAAUGUCUACUAAUCUGUGAGCAACUGUUGAUCAAUACCUGUGCAGCAAUUCUUGAAAGUUAUAUAUUUAUGAAUAUUAUAUUUGUGUAUAUUUUAAUGAUUGACAUUUUGGUGCCUUACUGGAUGGUGUUAUUUUUGGUUAAAAAGAUUUAAUCCAGAAGAAAAACACGGGAAAAAAAUCUACUCCCAACCUCUGGUUGCCAGGACCCUCUGUGCUGAUCAUAACUCUGCUCUCUGAAUAAGAAAACAGGAAUUUCCCGCGACUCCGUCAGCCAGCGCUGGCCGCCUGAUUGAAAUUCUGUGAGAAGUUCCGUGCUUCUUCAGUCUCUGGAAAUUCCGAUCAAAAUGCAAAUGUCUCUAGAAUUGAAGUGCAAACAUCUCUCAAAUAGAAGUAGCUUUACCCCCAAUUACUGGAAUUAGUAAUGGCUAUUUGUUUUAAAGAUCGUUACAAAAAUUACUGAAAACUAUCUUAAAUCAUAAAUAAAAAUUAUAGAAACUUCUGCCAGUUUUUUGACAUAGUACCAAGCUCUGUAAUUGAAUUUAUAGGUGUUUUUUAUUUGUUUUUGCAUAAACCACAUCCAUACUA